rnacentral:rRNA from 1 species
GAACUUAAGCAUAUCAAUAAGCGGAGGAAAAGAAACCAACAGGGAUUGCCUCAGUAACGGCGAGUGAAGCGGCAACAGCUCAAAUUUGAAAUCUGGCCGCAAGGUCCGAGUUGUAAUUUGUAGAGGAUGCUUUUGGCGAGGUGCCUUCCGAGUUCCCUGGAACGGGACGCCAUAGAGGGUGAGAGCCCCGUACGGUAGGACCACCAAGCCUCUGUAAAGCUCCUUCGACGAGUCGAGUAGUUUGGGAAUGCUGCUCUAAAUGGGAGGUGUACGUCUUCUAAAGCUAAAUACCGGCCAGAGACCGAUAGCGCACAAGUAGAGUGAUCGAAAGAUGAAAAGCACUUUGAAAAGAGGGUUAAAAAGUACGUGAAAUUGUUGAAAGGAAAGCAUUCAUGACCAGACUUGGGCUUGGUUGAACAUCCGGCGUUCUCGCCGGUGCACUCUGCCAGUCCAGGCCAGCAUCAGUUUGCCCCGGGGGAUAAAGGCGGCGGGAAUGUGGCUCCCUUCGGGGAGUGUUAUAGCCCGUCGUGUAAUGCCCUGGGGCGGACUGAGGAACGCGCUUCGGCACGGAUGCUGGCGUAAUGGUCAUCAAUGACCCGUCUUGAAACACGGACCAAGGAGUCGUCUUCGUAUGCGAGUGUUCGGGUGUCAAACCCCUACGCGUAAUGAAAGUGAACGUAGGUGAGAGCUUCGGCGCAUCACCGACCGAUCCUGAUGUUCUCGGAUGGAUUUGAGUAAGAGCAUACGGGGCCGGACCCGAAA